UCCUCUCUUCUCCUAAUCCUCUUCUCUUCUUCCUAAUCCUCUUCCAUCUGUUUUCAUCAUCACCAACAUUGUCACAUGAUCUUCCAUUAGAAAAUCUCUCCACAUCCCAUCUCCAAAGAGAGUGUCCAUCAUUUUACCUUUGUUUAUUCAUGUCUUUCCUUGGUUUCCUUUGUUUAUUCCACCACACAAUAACAUCUUCAUCACUCUUCCAUCAAAAAACUCUCUUCCACCAUCUUCUCUCCAUUUUCUCCAUUAAAAUAUUCCACCUCCUUCUUCCCUCCACAGAACUCUCUGUCAUUUAGUUCUAUAAUCUAUAUGAGUUUUGUAAAUAAGUGUAUUUACUUGUAUGUUUACUCAUAUAUUAGUAUAUAUUAGUGCUUAUAGUUUAUAUUUAAGUUUGCUUAAGCUUAAUUAGUAUACAUAAAGCUUGUACGGUGUAUAUUUCAAUUCCAUCAGACUCU
rnacentral:lncRNA from 1 species